CCAAAAUAAUACUACUAAUGGUAACCAAAUUGAAUCCUAAAAUGGCGAAAAUCAACUGAACGCUUCUAUGGCAAAUCCUCCAAGUAGAAGAACAUCAUCUUCUUCAUCUUCAUCAUCACCUUAUUCUGGCAGUAAUUACCUGCUUCCAAUUUCAGAUACCAACAAUAACAACAACCAAUUUCAAUCCCAAACCACUGCAGCUACAGCUACAAUUAGACUAGUAAAUUCCAUCAAAAUCUUCCUCAGAAAACCCCAUGCUUUCCCUUUUCUCCUUUCCAUUUUCCUUUUUCUCACAUGGGUUUCCCUCAGAAUCCAGCAUCAUCAGCAUCCUAGGAGUGAUUUCAACACUUGGGCUCUGAAAUUGGGCAAUAAGGGUAAAGAUGAGGACGCCAAUCUUGUGAGGUUUCACUCUAUGUCGUCCUCUAUUGUGAAGGAUAAACGUGGGUGGUUUGUUGAUCCUGUUUCUCUCGGUCUUCAAGCUGGCAUUUCAGGUCUGAAUAUAUUUCUCCAUCCCUCCCAAAAACCGCCCCAAUUUUUUGUUCAAGGUGCCAUAUAUGCAGCACGAUGUACGAGACUUUUACAAAUAUGAAUCUGUUACUGUUAAACAGGGGGAGCAACGAAUUGUGCUUCGGUUCACAUUGGUGAGAUCCGAGCUGGGGGAGUAAGGGGGAAUCAUAGACACCAUUCUUGCAAUGAGACAUUUGUUAUUUGGGGAGCCAAAACCUUAUUUAGGGUGAGUUUUAAGUUACUAAUUCAUAUCAUUUGUCUAAUUCACUGUGUUUCACUUACUGUGUGUUUCAUUGUAAAGCCUGUCCUAUUUUCCUUGAGCAUAAUAGUUUCAAGAAAGUUAUUAUUUGGCUUGUGGAAAUUCAUCAGUUAGGAAAUUCUCUCAAGUUAUAACCAAAAAGGCUGGUUUCUUUCCCUUCUUUUUUUUAGCGUUUUAUCAGCUGGGAUUUGUCAUUAGUUUUCUAUAAAAGAGUAGAUAUCCUAUAAUUCUGCCAUUUAGCAAAAAAAAAAAAAAAGAAUAGCUUUUGGAGCUUGAAUUUUGCUGCUUAUUUAUUUUAAGCGGUCAAUGCUCAUAGAGAAACUAUAGAAAGCUUUGUAUACUAACAGAGAGUUUAUGCUGGAGAGGAUUGUUCUUCUUUUUGUAGUAUUUCUUAGACUAGUGGGACUGAAUGGGAGGGUAGUUGCAGAAGUAUGUCUAGAACAUUUAUAAUAUGCAUUUUUUGGGUCUUAGAUGGUUAUGGGUUGCUAAAAGCCUGCAUGACUAAAGAGGUGCAGCAGCUUUAAUUGUUUCUCUGGUGCCGUUAAUUUGUAUUUGAUCAAAGUCUUUUCCCUGGAAUUUGUUCUUGCCUCAACUAGUACAGAAGGGAGAAGAAAAUUUGCCAUUUGAUUUUGACGACAUGUAAUAUGUCAUAAUAGAAUUGCCAGCAAUAGUUUCUGUUUGCAUAAACAAUUGAAUGUAAUUUGGGGCCAAUGACACUGUUUGGGCAUUCUGGUUCAAGGAGGUCAACUAUUUCUAUUUCUUCAUAAUUAGAUUGAAUACUAUAUGUCAAAAAAAAAAAAAAAUCUUUUUCUUUUCUUUUUCUUGUCUAGUCUUCCUUCCUCAAGCCACAAAUUCACAGACUCCGCUUGGCAUAAUUUUCUCUAUAUUCAUGUAUUUUAAAGGAUUACUUACAAAGUAGAGUUUAAUACUUGGGCUUUUCCUCUAGCUCUAAGUAUAUAGAGAAGGUGAAACACAGGAGUCUUGAUGCAUCAGUCAUUGUGGUGCAGCUCAAGUUAACAUGAAAUUAGGAGCAUGCUGGAGAGAAUCACUUAAAAACCAAUCUUACUUUUCCCUCUAUUGAUCUUUAUUUAGUUAUUUGGGGAACUGAUCAACUUUUUUUGAACAAAGUGGAUAGCCUAACUUUUAUGAAGUUUAAUAUGUGCCCUAGUAAGACAUCCUACAAAUUCUGUAGUUUGUUUGUGCCUUAGCACCAAUCAAGUUUCUGCAACUAGCAUUUGCUGCAGUAUUUAUGUUUGUGUGUAACAUUGUUCCAACUGUGGUAUAUUAUAUGUUCAACAGAGAACUGUCAUUUCCAGCUGUGGUGUUAAGAGUUUCUUUAAUUUUUUUUUUUUGUCAAAUAAAGAUACUGGUAAGGACUAUUGUUUUCUGUGGGGCGGUAAAGACAUAAAGACAAAUCAGUGCACACUUGAAAUCAAGCUGUGAGUACUGAUUUUGUCAUUUGCCAUUCGAGGAUACAUGAUUUGGCUUCAAAAAUUAAACAUUUUCCAAGAUUGAGGGGGAUUGUCAUUUUCACUUGACUAGUUGAAUUCACAUUUAAAGUUCGCACAUUUACUUUAUGUUUUGCUUGAAUCUGAAACUAGACUAAACCAUGCUGAUGCCUCAGCUGGGACUACUGGGUUUACUAAACAAGUCAACUCUAAGAUUCAGUUCACUGAGAUCAUCUUUUUUUUUUCUGAAAAUCCUAGUUUUAUAGUGCAUGCACUUAACAUUUUCUAUGAACUGCAGCUAAAAGAGCUCGUCUUUGGGCUGAUCGCUUAAUAUGGUUAUUAUUCUUCUGAUUGAUAGCAUCUGACUUUUAUUGUCAAAUAAGCCCUUUUAGAGUUGACUUGUAUAGAUAUAUAACGAAAAACACUUCAAAACAUCAACUCAAACAAAUCUGGAACUUAAGAUUUGGCCAAUAUGCUUUAACAUUUUGCACCAAGGCGGUAGAGGAACUGAUAACAUGCAUGCUUAACGUUGCAUACUAGAGAACUGCUCUCAAGCUCUUAUUUGCAGCAUAACAUGCAAUUUGUUGGUUGCGUGCUCAAGUUACUUUCAUAAGCUUAAUUUGCUGGAUCCUGAAUUUCUUUCUUUUACACCUGUAAUGCCAUCUGAUUGGUGCUGUCAUCUAUCUAUUUGUUCUUCACUUCUUCUUCCUUCACUCUAUUAGUUAAAUCUCAACAUACAAAUGUAUUUUUGCAGUUGGAAAAUAAUUUGGUUGACAAAGGCUAUGCUGAGGUGAUAGUUGGUGCAGAUGAGGUAGCUGUUGCAGCUAGUCCAAGUGGAAAAGCACAUGCUUUGGUAAACCUGGAUGCUCUGAGGAGUACAUUCUUCUUGGGGUGCCAGGAUAAUAUUAUCAAUUACAAUGACUCUACUUCUGACUUCAAUGUAUGGAAAGAUAUUUAGUUCUUUGAUCUUGUUAUUUCCGUAGCAUGGUUGGUUUUUUUUUUUUUAAAUAUAUAGUGUCAGCUAUCUCAGGGUUUUCAUCUUUGCUCCAGUUCUCUUUUAGCUGGGAGCCUUGUACAAGUAGCGGAAAAAGUUAUGAUAACCUUUUGUGUCACGUUGUAGUUCCUUUUUUGUAGUGAACUACCAAACCUGCAAAAACAAAUUACCUUCUAGUUCAAUCAAAUGCGAAAAUAAUACUACUAAUGGUAACCAAAUUGUAUCCUAAAAUGGCGAAAAUCAACUGAACGCUUCUAUGGCAAAUCCUCCAAGUAGAAGAACAUCAUCUUCUUCAUCUUCAUCAUCACCUUAUUCUGGCAGUAAUUACCUGCUUCCAAUUUCAGAUACCAACAAUAACAACAACCAAUUUCAAUCCCAAGCCACUGCAGCUACAGCAACAAUUAGACUAGUAAAUUCCAUCAAAAUCUUCCUCAGAAAACCCCAUGCUUUCCCUUUUCUCCUUUCCAUUUUCCUUUUUCUCACAUGGGUUUCCCUCAGAAUCCAGCAUCAUCAGCAUCCUAGGAGUGAUUUCAACACUUGGGCUCUG
rnacentral:lncRNA from 1 species